AUUAGAACUAAAUUUCAUAGGAACAGAUUAUAACUUGUAUCUAUGAACAUUCUAACCCUAUUCUCGGAAAGAUUCUUAGAAAUCUAGAUUGAUCAUUUCAGAUCAACACAGGCAUAAUCUAGACUCUAGACAUACUUUGACACCACUGAUAGACAUUAGGAGGCGCUGUGUCUGAGCGGUCUACAACUUACCAUUUUAACUCAGAAAUUAGUAAAUCCUCUUGAAGUAUACAUUUAGUAGAGGACUCCACUUAUAGCAUUUGGGACUAUU
rnacentral:sRNA from 1 species